rnacentral:rRNA from 1 species
UACGGGAGGCAGCAGUGAGGAAUAUUGGUCAAUGGGCGGAAGCCUGAACCAGCCAAGUAGCGUGCAGGAUGACGGCCCUAUGGGUUGUAAACUGCUUUUAUACAGGAAUAAAGUUAGCCACGUGUGGUUAUUUGUAGGUACUGUAUGAAUAAGGACCGGCUAAUUCCGUGCCAGCAGCCGCGGUAAUACGGAAGGUCCAGGCGUUAUCCGGAUUUAUUGGGUUUAAAGGGAGCGUAGGCCGUCUGUUAAGCGUGUUGUGAAAUGUAGAUGCUCAACAUCUGAAUUGCAGCGCGAACUGGCAGACUUGAGUGUGCGCAACGUAGGCGGAAUUCGUGGUGUAGCGGUGAAAUGCUUAGAUAUCACGAAGAACUCCGAUUGCGAAGGCAGCUUACGGGAGCACAACUGACGCUGAAGCUCGAAAGUGCGGGUAUCGAACAGGAUUAGAUACCCUGGUAGUCCGCACGGUAAACGAUGGAUGCCCGCUGUUGACCCACUUGGGCCAGCGGCCAAGCGAAAGCAUUAAGCAUCCCACCUGGGGAGUACGCCGGCAACGGUGAAACUCAAAGGAAUUGACGGGAAGGGC